UACGGCGAUGUCAUGUCGAAACUCCAGUUCACGUCCGAUCACCGAAGUUAAGUAACGUCGAGCCUGGUCAGUACCUAGAUGGUUGACCAAUUAGGAAUAUCAGGUGCUGUAAG